GCAGGAACUGAUGGUCAAACACUGACUGAGUCUGAAUCAGUGGUUAAAAGGCCUGGAGAAUCUCACAGACUGACCUGCACAUAUUCUGGGCUUGGCAAUCCUGGCAUGCACUGGGUCAGACAGGCAGCUGGAAAAGGACCGGAAUGGAUCGCUUAUAUCUGGUAUAACAGUGGUGGCAUCUAUUACUCCAACUCAGUAAGAGGCCGGUUCACCAUCUCCAGAGACAACAGCAAAAGUCAGGUGUAUCUGCAGAUGAACAGCCUGACAGCUGGAGAUUCUGCUGUUUAUUACUGCGCUCGACAGACACAGUGACACAGUGACACA